rnacentral:misc_RNA from 1 species
ACAAACUUGGUCAUUUAGAGGAAGUAAAAGUCGUAACAAGGUCUCCGUAGGUGAACCUGCGGAGGGAUCAUUUCUGAACGAUGUCCGCUCCCUCAUGGGAGCGGUUCAACAUCCAAAACUUGUGGGCCGAAGGCUCGUGGUUUGGCGCCCCUGAUGGGGCGCUGCCUUCAUGCCAGAAGCUUUGUUCGUCUGACUAAUAUUAUUAAUUGAAAACUUUCAACACUGGAUCUCUUGGCUCUUGCAUCGAUGAAGAACGCAGC